rnacentral:rRNA from 1 species
GACGAACGCUGGCGGCGCGCCUAACACAUGCAAGUCGAGCGGAGAUACUUGAAGGAAGUUUUCGGAUGGAAUUUGAGUAUUUUAGCGGCGGACGGGUGAGUAACGCGUGAGUGACCUGCCUUCCACAGGGGGAUAACGUACCGAAAGGUACACUAAUACCGCAUGAGACCACAGCACUGCCUGGUGCAGGGGUCAAAGGAGCAAUCCGGUGGAAGAUGGACUCGCGUCCGAUUAGAUAGUUGGUGGGGUAACGGCCUACCAAAUCAGCGAUCGGUAGCCGACCUGGGAGGGUGAUCGGCAACAUUGGAACUGAGAGACGGUCCAAACUCCUACGGGAGGCAGCAGUGGGGAAUAUUGGGCAAUGGGGGAAACCCUGACCCAGCGACGCCGCGUGAGGGAAGAAGGUUUUCGGAUUGUAAACCUCUGUUCUUGGUGAAGAGGGAAAGACGGUAGCCAAGGAGGAAGCCCCGGCUAACUACGUGCCAGCAGCCGCGGUAA